rnacentral:rRNA from 1 species
GUCGUAACAAGGUUUCCGUAGGUGAACCUGCGGAAGGAUCAUUCGCACGUAUCCAAAAGCAUCACUGUGAAUCAAUGGCGUGAGGCUCUGUGCUCAGAUGGAGAUUGCAUCAAUACCUGUGCGCAGAGGCUCAAGGGCGGCAUGGGGCAGGAUGGGCGCUUGUCGCCUCCUUUCUGCCCUUGCCGUCAUGUAUCUUGCGCUCCUUUGGGCUAUUGUAUUACCUAUCGUCUCGGGAGGUGCUCCGCACCUUUUCGUUGACAACUUUCAGCGAUGGAUGUCUCGGCUCGAACAACGAUGAAGGGCGCAGCGAAGUGUGAUAAGCACUGUGAAUUGCAGAAUUCCGUGAAUCAGUAGAAACCUGAACGCAUUCUGUGCUUUCGGGAUACCCCUGAAAGCAUGCCUGCUUCAGUGUCUAUUUCAUUUACUGCCAGUGGCACCGUGGUUCUACCGCGUUCAGCCGCUCGAGCGUCGUUGUGCGUCAAGGGCGCUUGCGUGCCCCUGACGCAUUCAGAGAAUGAGCGUCUCUCAUGACCCACAGCCGACCAAGUGUCUCGUACGCUUCAGCCUGCUGUGACGUGAGUGGUCGUUCUGGGAACUCGCGUGUGCUUGCGCACGUGACCACCUCUUCAAGACAUGAAGUCAGGUCAGCAAACCCGCUGAAUUUAAGCAUAUAAGUAAGCGGAGGAUAAGAAACUAAAUAGGAUUCCCUCAGUAAUGGCGAAUGAACAGGGAACAGCUCAGCUUGGAAAUCGGGGCCUCUGGCCUUGAAUUGUAGUCUGUAGGUGCGUUGCCGACGGAGGCGCAGGUGUAAGCCUCUUGGAAAAGAGCAUCAAAGAGGGUGAGAGUCCCGUUUGUCACCUGUAGUCCACCGUGCACGGUGCGCAUUCUGAGAGUCGCGUUCCUCGGGAUUGGAGCGUAAAGCGGGUGGUAAAUUUCAUCUAAAGCUAAAUAUAGGUUCGAGACCGAUAGCAAACAAGUACCAUGAGGGAAAGAUGAAAAGGACUUUGAAAAGAGAGUUAAAAGUGCCUGAAAUUGCUGAGAGGAAAGCGAAUGGAGCCAGUCUGUCUUGGCAAGAUUGUCGCACGCUAAGGGGAUUGCUUGUUGCUUCAGCGCAAGCGAGGUAGCAGGUUUUGAUCUGGACGUGUGUGGUGCUUCUUGCCUUGCGAGUCACCCUCGGUUCACGGUUGAAGAAAACGCUGGGGACAUGGUAGCUUGGUUCCGACUGAGUGAACGUGCCUGGUUGGAUUCACCUGUGUACCGCUCGGUGACUAAAUGGUUCCUUUCGACCCGUCUUGAAACACGGACCAAGGAGUCUAACAUAUGUGCAAGUUCACGGGUGGGUAAACCUGCCAGCGCACUGAAAGUGACUGCUGGGAUCUUUGCACCAGCAACCGACCAAUCAAUUGAGAGAGGUUUGAGUAUGAGCACAUCUGUUAGGACCCGAAAGAUGGUGAACUAUGCGUGA